GCGGCCUAUCAGCUUGUUGGUGAGGUAAUGGCUCACCAAGGCAACGACGGGUAGCCGGCCUGAGAGGGCGACCGGCCACACUGGGACUGAGACACGGCCCAGACUCCUACGGGAGGCAGCAGUGGGGAAUAUUGGGCAAUGGAGGAAACUCUGACCCAGCGACGCCGCGUGCGGGAUGAAGGCCUUCGGGUUGUAAACCGCUUUCAGUAGGGAAGAAGCGAAAGUGACGGUACCUACAAAAGAAGCACCGGCUAACUAUGUGCCAGCAGCCGCGGNAAUACAUAGGGUGCAAGCGUUGUCCGGAAUUAUUGGGCGUAAAGAGCUCGUAGGUCGUUUGUUACGUCGGAUGUGAAAAACCUGAGGCUCAACCUCAGGCCUGCAUUCGAUACGGGCAAACUAGAGUUUGGUAGGGGAGACUGGAAUUCCU
rnacentral:rRNA from 1 species